ensembl:lncRNA
AUGCGCACCCACUUCCCCGACCUGCGCCUCAUCCAGUACGACUGCGGUACGUGGGGACGCGUUGGGGACACUGUGGGGGGCGUUGGGGACAUGGGGGACGCGUUGGGGACGCGUUGGGGACAUGGAGGACGUGGGCUGCACCGCGUCGUGGCCAACAUGCGCACCCACUUCCCCGACCUGCGCCUCAUCCAGUACGACUGCGGUACGUGGGGACGCGUUGGGGACACUGUGGGGGGCGUUGGGGACAUGGGGGACGCGUUGGGGACGCGUUGGGGACAUGGAGGACGUGGGCUGCACCGCGUCGUGGCCAACAUGCGCACCCACUUCCCCGACCUGCGCCUCAUCCAGUACGACUGCGGUACGUGGGGACGCGUUGGGGACACUGUGGGGGGCGUUGGGGACAUGGGGGACGCGUUGGGGACGCGUUGGGGACAUGGAGGACGUGGGCUGCACCGCGUCGUGGCCAACAUGCGCACCCACUUCCCCGACCUGCGCCUCAUCCAGUACGACUGCGGUACGUGGGGACGCGUUGGGGACACUGUGGGGGGCGUUGGGGACAUGGGGGACGCGUUGGGGACGCGUUGGGGACAUGGAGGACGUGGGCUGCACCGCGUCGUGGCCAACAUGCGCACCCACUUCCCCGACCUGCGCCUCAUCCAGUACGACUGCGGUACGUGGGGACGCGUUGGGGACACUGUGGGGGGCGUUGGGGACAUGGGGGACGCGUUGGGGACGCGUUGGGGACAUGGAGGACGUGGGCUGCACCGCGUCGUGGCCAACAUGCGCACCCACUUCCCCGACCUGCGCCUCAUCCAGUACGACUGCGGUACGUGGGGACGCGUUGGGGACACUGUGGGGGGCGUUGGGGACAUGGGGGACGCGUUGGGGACGCGUUGGGGACAUGGAGGACGUGGGCUGCACCGCGUCGUGGCCAACAUGCGCACCCACUUCCCCGACCUGCGCCUCAUCCAGUACGACUGCGGUACGUGGGGACGCGUUGGGGACACUGUGGGGGGCGUUGGGGACAUGGGGGACGCGUUGGGGACGCGUUGGGGACAUGGAGGACGUGGGCUGCACCGCGUCGUGGCCAACAUGCGCACCCACUUCCCCGACCUGCGCCUCAUCCAGUACGACUGCGGUACGUGGGGACGCGUUGGGGACACUGUGGGGGGCGUUGGGGACAUGGGGGACGCGUUGGGGACGCGUUGGGGACAUGGAGGACGUGGGCUGCACCGCGUCGUGGCCAACAUGCGCACCCACUUCCCCGACCUGCGCCUCAUCCAGUACGACUGCGGUACGUGGGGACGCGUUGGGGACACUGUGGGGGGCGUUGGGGACAUGGGGGACGCGUUGGGGACGCGUUGGGGACAUGGAGGACGUGGGCUGCACCGCGUCGUGGCCAACAUGCGCACCCACUUCCCCGACCUGCGCCUCAUCCAGUACGACUGCGGUACGUGGGGACGCGUUGGGGACACUGUGGGGGGCGUUGGGGACAUGGGGGACGCGUUGGGGACGCGUUGGGGACAUGGAGGACGUGGGCUGCACCGCGUCGUGGCCAACAUGCGCACCCACUUCCCCGACCUGCGCCUCAUCCAGUACGACUGCGGUACGUGGGGACGCGUUGGGGACACUGUGGGGGGCGUUGGGGACAUGGGGGACGCGUUGGGGACGCGUUGGGGACAUGGAGGACGUGGGCUGCACCGCGUCGUGGCCAACAUGCGCACCCACUUCCCCGACCUGCGCCUCAUCCAGUACGACUGCGGUACGUGGGGACGCGUUGGGGACACUGUGGGGGGCGUUGGGGACAUGGGGGACGCGUUGGGGACGCGUUGGGGACAUGGAGGACGUGGGCUGCACCGCGUCGUGGCCAACAUGCGCACCCACUUCCCCGACCUGCGCCUCAUCCAGUACGACUGCGGUACGUGGGGACGCGUUGGGGACACUGUGGGGGGCGUUGGGGACAUGGGGGACGCGUUGGGGACGCGUUGGGGACAUGGAGGACGUGGGCUGCACCGCGUCGUGGCCAACAUGCGCACCCACUUCCCCGACCUGCGCCUCAUCCAGUACGACUGCGGUACGUGGGGACGCGUUGGGGACACUGUGGGGGGCGUUGGGGACAUGGGGGACGCGUUGGGGACGCGUUGGGGACAUGGAGGACGUGGGCUGCACCGCGUCGUGGCCAACAUGCGCACCCACUUCCCCGACCUGCGCCUCAUCCAGUACGACUGCGGUACGUGGGGACGCGUUGGGGACACUGUGGGGGGCGUUGGGGACAUGGGGGACGCGUUGGGGACGCGUUGGGGACAUGGAGGACGUGGGCUGCACCGCGUCGUGGCCAACAUGCGCACCCACUUCCCCGACCUGCGCCUCAUCCAGUACGACUGCGGUACGUGGGGACGCGUUGGGGACACUGUGGGGGGCGUUGGGGACAUGGGGGACGCGUUGGGGACGCGUUGGGGACAUGGAGGACGUGGGCUGCACCGCGUCGUGGCCAACAUGCGCACCCACUUCCCCGACCUGCGCCUCAUCCAGUACGACUGCGGUACGUGGGGACGCGUUGGGGACACUGUGGGGGGCGUUGGGGACAUGGGGGACGCGUUGGGGACGCGUUGGGGACAUGGAGGACGUGGGCUGCACCGCGUCGUGGCCAACAUGCGCACCCACUUCCCCGACCUGCGCCUCAUCCAGUACGACUGCGGUACGUGGGGACGCGUUGGGGACACUGUGGGGGGCGUUGGGGACAUGGGGGACGCGUUGGGGACGCGUUGGGGACAUGGAGGACGUGGGCUGCACCGCGUCGUGGCCAACAUGCGCACCCACUUCCCCGACCUGCGCCUCAUCCAGUACGACUGCGGUACGUGGGGACGCGUUGGGGACACUGUGGGGGGCGUUGGGGACAUGGGGGACGCGUUGGGGACGCGUUGGGGACAUGGAGGACGUGGGCUGCACCGCGUCGUGGCCAACAUGCGCACCCACUUCCCCGACCUGCGCCUCAUCCAGUACGACUGCGGUACGUGGGGACGCGUUGGGGACACUGUGGGGGGCGUUGGGGACAUGGGGGACGCGUUGGGGACGCGUUGGGGACAUGGAGGACGUGGGCUGCACCGCGUCGUGGCCAACAUGCGCACCCACUUCCCCGACCUGCGCCUCAUCCAGUACGACUGCGGUACGUGGGGACGCGUUGGGGACACUGUGGGGGGCGUUGGGGACAUGGGGGACGCGUUGGGGACGCGUUGGGGACAUGGAGGACGUGGGCUGCACCGCGUCGUGGCCAACAUGCGCACCCACUUCCCCGACCUGCGCCUCAUCCAGUACGACUGCGGUACGUGGGGACGCGUUGGGGACACUGUGGGGGGCGUUGGGGACAUGGGGGACGCGUUGGGGACGCGUUGGGGACAUGGAGGACGUGGGCUGCACCGCGUCGUGGCCAACAUGCGCACCCACUUCCCCGACCUGCGCCUCAUCCAGUACGACUGCGGUACGUGGGGACGCGUUGGGGACACUGUGGGGGGCGUUGGGGACAUGGGGGACGCGUUGGGGACGCGUUGGGGACAUGGAGGACGUGGGCUGCACCGCGUCGUGGCCAACAUGCGCACCCACUUCCCCGACCUGCGCCUCAUCCAGUACGACUGCGGUACGUGGGGACGCGUUGGGGACACUGUGGGGGGCGUUGGGGACAUGGGGGACGCGUUGGGGACGCGUUGGGGACAUGGAGGACGUGGGCUGCACCGCGUCGUGGCCAACAUGCGCACCCACUUCCCCGACCUGCGCCUCAUCCAGUACGACUGCGGUACGUGGGGACGCGUUGGGGACACUGUGGGGGGCGUUGGGGACAUGGGGGACGCGUUGGGGACGCGUUGGGGACAUGGAGGACGUGGGCUGCACCGCGUCGUGGCCAACAUGCGCACCCACUUCCCCGACCUGCGCCUCAUCCAGUACGACUGCGGUACGUGGGGACGCGUUGGGGACAGGGGGACGCGUUUGGGACGCAUUGGGGACAUGGGGGACACGUCGGGGACACUUUGA